rnacentral:rRNA from 1 species
UUUUUUUUAAAAGUAAUUUAUUUAUUUAAGGUUUUAGUAUUUAAUAAAAAUUAAUUUUUAGAUUUAUAGUUUAAUAGUAUUGUAAAAGAAUUAAUUUAAUUUAGAAAAGAAUAAUUUUAGUACCUUUUGUAUCAGGGUUGAUUAAAAUUUUUAAUUUUUUUUUAAUUUCUCAAAAUUUAUAGAGUUAAUUUUAUUAUUAAGUUAUUGUAUUAUAAAUAUUUAUAAAAUAAUUUUGGUUUUGAAAUUUAAUUCGUUAUAAUAUAUUUAGUUAUUUAAGAUUUAAAUUUAAUUUAUAAUUUUAAAAGUUAUAUUGAUUUUAUAUAUAAAUAUUUUAAAUUUAAAUUAUUUUAGGGAUAAGCUUGAAAUUUUUAUAUAAUAAUUUAUUUAUUUUAAUAAUUUAUAGGAAUAGAAAUUUUUAUUUAAAGUUUGUAAAAAUUUAUUAUUUAUUUUUUUUUAAUUUAUUAUAAAUUUAUUUAUUUUUUAUAUUAAAUUUUAUUAAUUAAUAUUUAAUUUUUAGUAAUAAUGAUUAAAUUAGUAUAAUUUAAAUUUAUAAAUUAUGAAUUCGGCAAAAAUUAUUUUCAUCUGUUUAACAAAAACAUUGUAUUAAGAUUAAUUUAAUAUAGGAUCUGCUCAAUGAUUUAUUAAAUAGCUGCAGUAUUUUGACUGUGCAAAGGUAGCAUAAUAAUUAGUCUUUUAAUUGAGGACUUGUAUGAAAGAUUUGAUGAGAAAUAAACUUUAUUAUUUAUAAAAUUAAAAUUUUAUUUUUAAGUAAAAAAGCUUAAAUUAUUUAAAGGGACGAUAAGACCCUAUAAAACUUUAUAAAUAUUGAUUUUAAUUUUUUUGGAUUUAUAAAUAUUUUAAUUUUUUUAUUUAUUUUAUUGGGGUGAUAAAAAAAAUUAUUAAACUUUUUUUAAAUUUUUACAUUAUUUAAUGAAUAUUUGAAUUAAAAUUUUUAAUUAAAGGAAAAAGUUACUUUAGGGAUAACAGCGUAAUUAAUUUUUUAAGUUCAAAUUUAAAAAUUAGUUUGCGACCUCGAUGUUGAAUUAAGAUUAAUCUUAGGUGCAAAAUUUUAAGUAUUAGGUCUG